GGGUGGUGGAGUCUCGCGCGGAAGCCACCGGCUUCUGUCACGGGAGCCGGGAUUGCUAAGGCGGCUGGGGAGGCGGGAAGGUAGCAGUGGUUGAAGGGGCAUUGGCUGAUUUGCGGGAAGACCGUGAGCAGCAAUGGUGAUGGCGGCGAAGAAGGGCCCAGCCCCAGGUGGCGGGGCCGGCGGGGGGAAGUCAGAGGCGGAGGCGGCCUCAGAGGUGUGGUGCCGCCGAGUGCGGGAAUUGGGCGGCUGCAGCCAGGCUGGGAAUCGCCACUGCUUCGAGUGCGCCCAGCGCGGGGUCACCUACGUGGACAUCACCGUAGGCAGCUUCGUCUGCACCACCUGCUCCGGCCUUCUGAGAGGACUGAAUCCUCCUCAUCGUGUCAAGUCCAUCUCCAUGACAACUUUCACUGAGCCCGAAGUAAUAUUCCUGCAAUCUCGUGGCAAUGAGGUUUGCAGGAAGAUAUGGCUAGGUCUGUUUGAUGCUCGGACAUCUUUAAUACCAGAUUCCAGGGAUCCUCAGAAGGUGAAGGAGUUUCUCCAGGAAAAAUAUGAGAAGAAGAGAUGGUAUGUCCCCCCAGACCAGAUCAAGGGGCCCACCUAUACCAAAGGCAGUACCUCCACCCCCGUCCAGGGCUCCCUCUCAGAAGGGAAGCCCCUUCGGACACUUCCUGGUGAUCCUGUGCCAACUCUCUCAGCUGCUGCCUCCAUCUCCAGCCAGUCUGUCAGCCAGUCUCAAGCUCGGACAUCCCAGGCCCGGAGCUCUCAGCUACCUUCGCACUCCUCUGUCAAGAAAGCCAGUACUGACCUGCUGGCUGACAUCGGUGGAGACCCCUUUGCUACUCCUCCAGCAGCACCAGCUUUUGCUGCAUUCCCAGCCUUUGGAGGCCAGACACCUUCACAUGGGGGCUUUGCCAACUUCGAUGCCUUUGGCAGUAGCCCCAGCUCUUCUGCAUUUGGAAGCAUCCCUCCAACUGGCCAAGCCCCAUUCCAGGCCCAGCCAACACCUGCAGCCAGUCGGAUGCUAACUGGAAGUUACAGCUUUGGGAGCAGCCAGGUGACUCCAUUUGGUGCCACUCCCCUUGUACCUGCCAGUCAGCCAAACAGCCGUGCAGAUAUGGGCAGCUACCUGGGACCAGGGGUUUCAGCUGGAGGUAUUCCUGGCAGCAUCUUCGGGAUGACCAGCCAGGUCCCCACGCUCCAGUCUGCUAUGACUGGUGGCAGCAGCAGCACAGGGCUUGCCUUUGGAGCCUUCACCAACCCAUUUGCAGCCUCUGCUGCCCAGCCCCAGCUGCCUUCCACCAACCCAUUCCAGCCCAAUGGCUUGGCCCCAGGGCCUGGCUUUGGGAUGAGCAGUGCUGGGCCUGGCUUUCCCCAGACAGUACAACCCUCUGGGGCAGCACCUUUUGCCAGCACCUUUCCACCACCGAUAUUUUCACCACAAAGCUCGCUGACUCCACAGCAGAAUGUUGUCCCUCUUGCCUCCCAGGCUCUUCCUUUGGGGACUUAGGAUCGGCCAAGCUGGGGCAGAGGCCACUGAGCCAGCCAGCUGGGAUCUCCACCAACCCUUUCAUGACUGGAUCCUCAUCAAGCCCAUUUGCCUCCAAACCUCCAACCACCAACCCAUUCUUGUAGCACUGUGUCCUCUGGGGCCUCUUCCCUGUGCUGUGGGGCCCCUCUGCCCCAGAGCUUUGGUGACCACUUGCCUGUGGGUCUGAGACCAGCACAGGCCCUGUUCUUCAGGAUCAGGGUCUUAGGGAUGGUGGAGGUGCUGAUGCUUUGCUUGGGGCUUACAGAUGAACUGACAGCCCUUCAGUCAGAUGCCUCAAAGGCUCCCUUCCUCCCUCCUUCUGCCCCCACCAGGAGGGAGCCCCAGCAGAAGUGAUGGUAGGGAUGCGUGGAGGAACCAUGGCAUUUUUUUCAGUUAAUAAGCUCUCUUCCCUUCAUCCCCAGCCCCAUGGGCAGAGGAAGCCAUGAUACAGACCGACUGGCCUUCUCCAUGGGAACAGUUUUUCCCCCAUGCCCAGCUCCCUAACACUGUGCUCCAUCCAUGUGGACAGAGUACAGUGGGGAAAGUAUGGUAAAGAUGAAGCAUGGUGUUGACAGGGACAGUGACCAGAUGACUCUGGGACCAAGACCACACUUUCCUCUACCACCUGCCAUUGUUUUGCUUCCCCAGUACUCCUUCUGUCCUGGCACUCAGGAUGAAUAGUUUUACCCAUGUACACACAGGCCCAGCUCCUGUCAAGCACUUUAGUUAGCCAUUGGUGUCAUGUUUGGAUACCAGUGUUUUAUACUUACACAUAGAGAGGAUUUUCUAAUAUAGCCUAAUAUACAUAUAUAUAUACACACACACACACACACACGUAACACACAUAUAUAUACACACAUAUCCAGCCAUUCUUCUCCCAGACGUCUCCCAUCUGUGCCUCAACCAUCAAAGCCAGAGCUCCA